AGAGUUUGAUCCUGGCUCAGGAUGAACGCUAGCGGCAGGCCUAAUACAUGCAAGUCGAGGGGUAAGGCUCACUUCGGUGAGUACACGACCGGCGCACGGGUGCGUAACGCGUAUGCAACCUACCUUUAACAGGGGAAUAGCCCCGAGAAAUCGGGAUUAAUGCCCCAUAAAAUAAAUAAGUGGCAUCACUUUGUUUAUUAAAGCUCCGGCGGUUAAAGAUGGGCAUGCGUGACAUUAGUUUGUUGGUGAGGUAACGGCUCACCAAGACUUCGAUGUCUAGGGGUUCUGAGAGGAUGAUCCCCCACACUGGUACUGAGACACGGACCAGACUCCUACGGGAGGCAGCAGUAAGGAAUAUUGCGCAAUGGAGGCAACUCUGACGCAGCCAUGCCGCGUGAAGGAAGAAGGCCUUAUGGGUCGUAAACUUCUUUUAUAUAGGAAUAAACCCACCCUCGUGAGGGUGGCUGAAGGUACUAUACGAAUAAGCACCGACUAACUCCGUGCCAGCAGCCGCGGUAAUA
rnacentral:rRNA from 1 species